CCCUUUCUUACAUUUGCAAAUAGCUGCCAUAUGAUAGAGAAAUUCCUCAUUUACCCCAAUCCCUACAAUACAUGAUUUUUUGAAAUUUAUACUCAAUCCUGAAAAAAUCUCAAAACAACAGAGUAUAAAUUUCAUAUUUUCCACCACCUUUUCCACUGCCUUUAAGAACAAAAAAGUAUCAUCUGCAAACUGUAAAUGCUAUAUCAUUUGAUCCAGAAGAACACCAUGAAUACCUUCAAUUAAUCCCAACACCCCAG
rnacentral:lncRNA from 1 species